rnacentral:rRNA from 1 species
GAUGAACGCUGGCGGCGUGCCUAAUACAUGCAAGUCGAGCGAACGGACGAGAAGCUUGCUUCUCUGAUGUUAGCGGCGGACGGGUGAGUAACACGUGGAUAGCCUACCUAUAAGACUGGGAUAACUUCGGGAAACCGGAGCUAAUACCGGAUAAUAUUUUGAACCGCAUGGUUCAAAAGUGAAAGACGGUCUUGCUGUCACUUAUAGAUGGAUCCGCGCUGCAUUAGCUAGUUGGUAAGGUAACGGCUUUCCAAGGCAACGAUGCAUAGCCGACCUGAGAGGGUGAUCGGCCACACUGGAACUGAGACACGGUCCAGACUCCUACGGGAGGCAGCAGUAGGGAAUCUUCCGCAAUGGGCGAAAGCCUGACGGAGCAACGCCGCGUGAGUGAUGAAGGUCUUCGGAUCGUAAAACUCUGUUAUUAGGGAAGAACAUAUGUGUAAGUAACUGUGCACAUCUUGACGGUACCUAAUCAGAAAGCCACGGCUAACUACGUG